ACCUCGGUAAUUUAGCGGUCAAAAACAGCGGGGCGUAAACCUGAAGACCUGGGUUCGAAUCCCAGUCGAGAUC